rnacentral:rRNA from 1 species
AUGAUUCCAGGACCUGGAUUCAUACCAGCCGAUGGUUUGAAGCACUCCUCUAGUUUGAAGGAUAGAUACCUUCUUGGGAUCAAGUGCAUCCUAACUCACCUGCUACCAUAUAACUGGAAUUACCGAUGCAAGUCGAAGAAGGAUUGGCUGGUGCUGCCGGCUGGCGUCAAGUUCGAUCUCACGGAUCAGGAGCUGAUCGAGCCCCUUGAGGCCAAAGUGAGUGUUGACAGCGCGAGAUCUCACCCUCUCAUCGGUUUGUUCAUACCAACCAUCGACAGCGAGCACGGCAUAUGCUACACCCAACCUGAGAAACUUCCAGAUGUUAUGGAAAUGCCAACUACGUACACUAAAACCUGUAUUCGACAAUACUGCAGGUAUCACAAAAGGGGCACGUGGACGCGUCACAAGAUACAGUCGGAGUGCGGCAUGCAGACCGGCAAUACCUUGCCGGUGAUGGUCAACGGCCGACAGACGGGCAGCAAAAAGGUUUUGGUGCUACACACCAACAAGAACUUCGACCAGCAGAGGACCAACUGGGUGAUGCACCAGUACCACCUCGGGGACCUGGAGCAAGAGAAGGAGCGGGAGUGGGUCCUCUGCAAGAUUUUGUACCAGACGAACAUUAGGGCCAGGAGUAAAAAGAUUAUAAGUCGAGCAAGUUUCAACUGGGCUGUAGACUGCCCAGGCUUGGUUUUGUCUUUAACAGGCCCAACCCAUGACGACAAUGGGGCACAAAGAUCCAUCAGGACAAGGGUUCAAUAUCUGGUGCCUGUGGUGUGCAGCAUGGGAAGGAGGUUAUCUGCUAGCUUUGCUUUAGUGUCUCAGGGGGCAAGGCUACAACUUGUUAAUCUGCCCUCUCUUUGA